rnacentral:pre_miRNA from 1 species
GUGUUGUUUCACUUGGUGCUAGACAUUAGGUUGUAAGCUGGCUUACAACCUAGUGUCUAGCAAGAAGUGAAACAACAC